rnacentral:rRNA from 1 species
CUACGUGCCAGCAGCCGCGGUAAUACGUAGGGUGCGAGCGUUAAUCGGAAUUACUGGGCGUAAAGCGGGCGCAGACGGUUACUUAAGCAGGAUGUGAAAUCCCCGGGCUCAACCUGGGAAUUGCGUUCUGAACUGGGUGGCUAGAGUGUGUCAGAGGGGGGUAGAAUUCCACGUGUAGCAGUGAAAUGCGUAGAGAUGUGGAGGAAUACCGAUGGCGAAGGCAGCCCCCUGGGAUGGCACUGACGUUCAUGCCCGAAAGCGUGGGUAGCAAACAGGAUUAGAUACCCUGGUAGUCCACGCCCUAAACGAUGUCGAUUAGCUGUUGGGCAACUUGAUUGCUUGGUAGCGAAGCUAACGCGUGAAAUCGACCGCCUGGGGAGUACGGUCGCAAGAUUAAAACUCAAAGGAAUUGACGGGGACCCGCACAAGCGGUGGAUGAUGUGGAUUAAUUCGAUGCAACGCGAAGAACCUUACCUGGUCUUGACAU